AGAAAAGUUACCACAGGGA
rnacentral:ncRNA from 2 species